rnacentral:misc_RNA from 1 species
CAGAGUUCAUGCCCGAAAGGGUAGACCUCCCACCCUUGUGUAUUAUUACUUUGUUGCUUUGGCGAGCCGCCUCACGGCCUCGAGCCCUCCAGCUUGAGCGCGCUCGCCAGAAGAAUCAAAACUCUUUUUAUUCAUGUCGUCUGAGCACUAUACAAUAGUUA